GACAGAGGGGGCAAGCGUUGCUCGGAAUCACUGGGCGUAAAGGGCGCGUAGGCGGGAUGGCAAGUCGGUCGUGAAAUCCCUGGGCUCAACGUCAGGGGGGUCGGCCGAUACUGCCGUUCUUGAGGGAUGCAGAGGAGACUGGAAUUCCCGGUGUAGCGGUGAAAUGUGUAGAGAUCGGGAGGAACACCGGUGGCGAAGGCGGGUCUCUGGGCAUUCCCUGACGCUGAGGCGCGAAAGCGUGGGGAGCAAACGGG
rnacentral:rRNA from 1 species